AUCCAUCAGUACUCUGUAACCUGUAAACUGCAGCGUUUACCUGCCCUGCGUGCCUGUGGAUUCCACUUCUGUUUAGCCUGCUCUCCAAACCAAUCUCCUUUAGCGAGCGUCUUCACGACCACCUGCUCGUCUCCAGGCGCCCCUAGCAUUCGCCUAUACUGCCUUUACCACGGGCCGGCCUUGCAUGCAUCAGGAAACGUUCCC